rnacentral:rRNA from 1 species
UCCGUAGGUGAACCUGCGGAGGGAUCAUUACACAAAUAUGAAGGCGGGCUGGAACCUCUCGGGGUUACAGCCUUGCUGAACUAUUCACCCUUGUCUUUUGCGUACUUCUUGUUUCCUUGGUGGGUUCGCCCACCACUAGGACAAACAUAAACCUUUUGUAAUUGCAAUCAGCGUCAGUAACAAAUUAAUAAUUACAACUUUCAACAACGGAUCUCUUGGUUCUGGCAUCGAUGAAGAACGCAGCGAAAUGCGAUAAGUAGUGUGAAUUGCAGAAUUCAGUGAAUCAUCGAAUCUUUGAACGCACAUUGCGCCCUUUGGUAUUCCAAAGGGCAUGCCUGUUCGAGCGUCAUUUGUACCCUCAAGCUUUGCUUGGUGUUGGGCGUCUUGUCUCUAGCUUUGCUGGAGACUCGCCUUAAAGUAAUUGGCAGCCGGCCUACUGGUUUCGGAGCGCAGCACAAGUCGCACUCUCUAUCAGCAAAGGUCUAGCAUCCAUUAAGCCUUUUUUUCAACUUUUGACCUCGGAUCAGGUAGGGAUACCCGCUGAACUUAAGCAUAUCAAUAAGCGGAGGA